rnacentral:rRNA from 1 species
GUACCUUUUGCAUCAUGAUUUAGCAAGAAAACUACAAGCAAAGAGCCCUUUAGUUUGUAACCCCGAAACUGAGCGAGCUACUCCAAGACAGCCUAUAAAGGGCAAACCCGUCUCUGUGGCAAAAGAGUGGGAAGAGCUUUGAGUAGAGGUGACAAACCUACCGAGCCCAGUUAUAGCUGGUUGCCUGUGAAAUGAAUAGGAGUUCAGCCCUUUAAGUCUUUCCCCCCUCACCCAUGCUUACGCUAAAAUUGAUUAAGGAAACUAAAGGCGUUAAUCAAAAGGGGUACAGCCCUUUUGAUAGAAGAAACAACUUUAACAGGUGACCCAAGAUCAUAUUACCCAAGGAUUUCAAAUUAAGUGGGCCUAAAAGCAGCCAUCUUAUCAGAAAGCGUUAAAGCUCAAAUUAGCCUAUAUCCUCAUAUACUGAUAUUACAUCUCCCUMCCUGCCCCUUACCAGGCUGUCUUAUGCCCCCAUAAGAACAAUUAUGCUAAAAUGAGUAAUAAGAAGAAUUUAAUUCUUCUCCUAGCACAUGUGUAAGUCGGAACGGACCUCCCACCGACUAUUAAUCGACCCCAAACCCAGAGGGUAAUAGGUCAAAUAAACAAGAAAAACACCUAUUUUGUAUCGUUAACCCCACACAGGUGUGCCUAAAGGAAAGACUAAAAGAGAAGGAAGGAACUCGGCAAACACAAGCCUCGCCUGUUUACCAAAAACAUCGCCUCUUGCUCCAAAAAUAUAAGAGGUCCCGCCUGCCCUGUGACUAUAAGUUUAACGGCCGCGGUAUUUUAACCGUGCGAAGGUAGCGUAAUCACUUGUCUUUUAAAUGAAGACCUGUAUGAAUGGCAUCACGAGGGCUUAGCUGUCUCCCAUCUCCAGUCAAUGAAAUUGACCUCCCCGUGCAGAGGCGGGGAUAAUUACAUAAGACGAGAAGACCCUAUGGAGCUUUAGACCUAAAGUAAGUCACGUUUAACAUGCUAAAAUAACAGAAAAAACUUAGUGAUAUUUACUGAAGUGUCUUUGGUUGGGGCGACCGCGGGGUAAAACACAACCCCCAUGUGGACCGGGGAUAUUAUCCCUAAUACUCAGAGCCUCUACUCCAAGUAACAGAAAUUCUGACUUUUCUGAUCCGGUAUAACCGAUCAACGAACCGAGUUACCCUAGGGAUAACAGCGCAAUCCCCUCUCAGAGCCCAUAUCGACGAGGGGGUUUACGACCUCGAUGUUGGAUCAGGACAUCCUAAUGGUGCAGCCGCUAUAAGGAUC